ACUAAGCGUACACGGUGGAUGCCCUGGCAGUCAGAGGCGAUGAAGGACGUGCUAAUCUGCGAUAAGCGUCGGUAAGGUGAUAUGAACCGUUAUAACCGGCGAUUUCCGAAUGGGGAAACCCAGUGUGUUUCGACACACUAUCAUUAACUGAAUCCAUAGGUUAAUGAGGCGAACCGGGGGAACUGAAACAUCUAAGUACCCCGAGGAAAAGAAAUCAACCGAGAUUCCCCCAGUAGCGGCGAGCGAACGGGGAGCAGCCCAGAGCCUGAAUCAGUGUGUGUGUUAGUGGAAGCGUCUGGAAAGGCGCGCGAUACAGGGUGACAGCCCCGUACACAAAAAUGCACAUGCUGUGAGCUCGAUGAGUAGGGCGGGACACGUGGUAUCCUGUCUGAAUAUGGGGGACCAUCCUCCAAGGCUAAAUACUCCUGACUGACCGAUAGUGAACCAGUACCGUGAGGGAAAGGCGAAAAGAACCCCGGCGAGGGGAGUGAAAAAGAACCUGAAACCGUGUACGUACAAGCAGUGGGAGCCUCUUUAUGGGGUGACUGCGUACCUUUUGUAUAAUGGGUCAGCGACUUAUAUUCUGUAGCAAGGUUAACCGAAUAGGGGAGCCGAAGGGAAACCGAGUCUUAACUGGGCGUUAAGUUGCAGGGUAUAGACCCGAAACCCGGUGAUCUAGCCAUGGGCAGGUUGAAGGUUGGGUAACACUAACUGGAGGACCGAACCGACUAAUGUUGAAAAAUUAGCGGAUGACUUGUGGCUGGGGGUGAAAGGCCAAUCAAACCGGGAGAUAGCUGGUUCUCCCCGAAAGCUAUUUAGGUAGCGCCUCGUGAAUUCAUCUCCGGGGGUAGAGCACUGUUUCGGCAAGGGGGUCAUCCCGACUUACCAACCCGAUGCAAACUGCGAAUACCGGAGAAUGUUAUCACGGGAGACACACGGCGGGUGCUAACGUCCGUCGUGAAGAGGGAAACAACCCAGACCGCCAGCUAAGGUCCCAAAGUCAUGGUUAAGUGGGAAACGAUGUGGGAAGGCCCAGACAGCCAGGAUGUUGGCUUAGAAGCAGCCAUCAUUUAAAGAAAGCGUAAUAGCUCACUGGUCGAGUCGGCCUGCGCGGAAGAUGUAACGGGGCUAAACCAUGCACCGAAGCUGCGGCAGCGACGCUUAUGCGUUGUUGGGUAGGGGAGCGUUCUGUAAGCCUGUGAAGGUGUGCUGUGAGGCAUGCUGGAGGUAUCAGAAGUGCGAAUGCUGACAUAAGUAACGAUAAAGCGGGUGAAAAGCCCGCUCGCCGGAAGACCAAGGGUUCCUGUCCAACGUUAAUCGGGGCAGGGUGAGUCGACCCCUAAGGCGAGGCCGAAAGGCGUAGUCGAUGGGAAACAGGUUAAUAUUCCUGUACUUGGUGUUACUGCGAAGGGGGGACGGAGAAGGCUAUGUUGGCCGGGCGACGGUUGUCCCGGUUUAAGCGUGUAGGCUGAUUUUCCAGGCAAAUCCGGAAAAUCAAGGCUGAGGCGUGAUGACGAGGCACUACGGUGCUGAAGCAACAAAUGCCCUGCUUCCAGGAAAAGCCUCUAAGCAUCAGGUAACAUCAAAUCGUACCCCAAACCGACACAGGUGGUCAGGUAGAGAAUACCAAGGCGCUUGAGAGAACUCGGGUGAAGGAACUAGGCAAAAUGGUGCCGUAACUUCGGGAGAAGGCACGCUGAUAUGUAGGUGAAGUCCCUCGCGGAUGGAGCUGAAAUCAGUCGAAGAUACCAGCUGGCUGCAACUGUUUAUUAAAAACACAGCACUGUGCAAACACGAAAGUGGACGUAUACGGUGUGACGCCUGCCCGGUGCCGGAAGGUUAAUUGAUGGGGUCAGCGCAAGCGAAGCUCUUGAUCGAAGCCCCGGUAAACGGCGGCCGUAACUAUAACGGUCCUAAGGUAGCGAAAUUCCUUGUCGGGUAAGUUCCGACCUGCACGAAUGGCGUAAUGAUGGCCAGGCUGUCUCCACCCGAGACUCAGUGAAAUUGAACUCGCUGUGAAGAUGCAGUGUACCCGCGGCAAGACGGAAAGACCCCGUGAACCUUUACUAUAGCUUGACACUGAACAUUGAGCCUUGAUGUGUAGGAUAGGUGGGAGGCUUAGAAGUGUGGACGCCAGUCUGCAUGGAGCCGGCCUUGAAAUACCACCCUUUAAUGUUUGAUGUUCUAACGUGGACCCGUAAUCCGGGUUGCGGACAGUGUCUGGUGGGUAGUUUGACUGGGGCGGUCUCCUCCUAAAGAGUAACGGAGGAGCACGAAGGUUGGCUAAUCCUGGUCGGACAUCAGGAGGUUAGUGCAAUGGCAUAAGCCAGCUUGACUGCGAGCGUGACGGCGCGAGCAGGUGCGAAAGCAGGUCAUAGUGAUCCGGUGGUUCUGAAUGGAAGGGCCAUCGCUCAACGGAUAAAAGGUACUCCGGGGAUAACAGGCUGAUACCGCCCAAGAGUUCAUAUCGACGGCGGUGUUUGGCACCUCGAUGUCGGCUCAUCACAUCCUGGGGCUGAAGUAGGUCCCAAGGGUAUGGCUGUUCGCCAUUUAAAGUGGUACGCGAGCUGGGUUUAGAACGUCGUGAGACAGUUCGGUCCCUAUCUGCCGUGGGCGCUGGAGAACUGAGGGGGGCUGCUCCUAGUACGAGAGGACCGGAGUGGACGCAUCACUGGUGUUCGGGUUGUCAUGCCAAUGGCACUGCCCGGUAGCUAAAUGCGGAAGAGAUAAGUGCUGAAAGCAUCUAAGCACGAAACUUGCCCCGAGAUGAGUUCUCCCUGACUCCUUGAGAGUCCUGAAGGAACGUUGAAGACGACGACGUUGAUAGGCCGGGUGUGUAAGCGCAGCGAUGCGUUGAGCUAACCGGUACUAAUGAACCGUGAGGCUUAACC
rnacentral:rRNA from 1 species